rnacentral:lncRNA from 1 species
UCCCAUAACAACUCUCAAAUGACCUUCUGAGGUCAGAUUUGCUUCUCUAAACUAUAGAUCUGACCUCCCCAUGACCAAAAACCACGUAAUGGUCGAAACUUGACCCACAUGCAAAGCACCCAAGGCUUCUUUUGAUGAAAUCACUUCUGAAAUGGCAAACUAAGUUCAUUUCCUUCAUGGAACCACAUAAAGCAGUUUGGAUAAGGCUCUCUGGACCUCAAAAGGUCUAGAUCCAGAGUCUAACACUCAAUGGGACACUAUACUCGGCCAAACAAGCCAAUAAAAAGGUAUAGAAAACCCUAGAUUUAAGGUUCUUAUGCAAAACAAAAUAAUAGAUCGAAUUGCUACCUCAAAAGUGAAGAUGCCUACUGAAAAUCCAUGGAAAUAGCAACCCUCUUGACCUUCUCUUGCUGGAAACACUUUCUCCUUUGCUAAACCACACCAAAAUGAUCAAAAUAGCUCAAUCUCUCUCCUAACUCAGUCAAGCUCUCUAGGGUCUCUCUCUAUGGAUUGGAGGACGCAAAUGAGGGCUAUACGGACCCUUAAAUAGGGCACAUGCCCGGAUAUUUAGGGUUUCAAUCCACAGCGCGGACUCGUCGAGUCCACCCUUUCCGACUCGUCGAGUCCGUUAAUUAAUCCAGUCAGUAAUCGUGGUCCUACUCGAUGAGUCUACGCCUCAAAUCGUUGAGUCCCUCUCUUUUACUCAAAAAAUAAAUGAUCAAACAUAAUACCUGGAAAUCCGGAUGUUACAAUUCUCCCCCAAUAGAAUUAGACUUCGCCCUCGAAGUCUUGCUCCGCAAACAACUCUGGAUGUUGUUCCCGCAUCUCCAAUUCUGGCUCCCAGGUCAGCUCGGACCCUCUCCGGUGUUGCCACUGGACUUGAACCAGGGGCACCUCCUUGUUCCUCAGAACCUUGAUCUUCCGAUCCAUAAUCGUAACUGGCCUCUCAACAUAAUUCAGGCUCGCAUCCACCUUAAUAUCUUCCAAUGGCACCACCGCCGACUCGUCGGCUAUACAAUUCCUCAACUGAGACAUGUGGAAGGUAUCAUGAAUCUGGCUCAACUCCGCAGGUAGCUCCAAACGAUAUGCUACUCUGCCCACCCUUGCGGUUACCCUGAAUAGAGCAAUGUAUCGGGGCCCCAGCUUGCCCCUCUUCCUGAAUCGGAUCACUCCUUUCCAAGGAGAUACUUUCAGGAGUACGAAGUCUCUGCCUGGAACUCUAUCUCAGACCGUCGCCUAUCCGCAUAACUUUUCUGGCGACUCUGAGUUGUCAACAACCUCUACCUGACCUACUAUGUCUACUCUGUCGUCUGCAGUACUAACUCAGUGCUACCCAACACUCGCUGCCUGACCUCUCCCCAGCAGAUGGGAGUCCGACACCUCCUUCCAUACAACACGUCAAAGGGGGGUAUACCGAUACUCGAAUGUGAUGGGUUUUAUGCAUAAGAACAAUCCUAUGUGCUCAUACAAACCCUAAUGCUUGGAUCUAGGUUUCUCUAUUGUACAUGCUUUGAAUCCAAGACUUACAAACCUAGAUCUAUCAUAUGUAAUUCGAAAUUAUCGUUAAGAAAAUAGAUCUAAGUGUUUUACCUCUUUCAAGUAGCUUGAAUCCUUGUAAUCUUCUUGAUCUUGAGCUUAGAGUCACAAUUGUAACUCCUCUAAUGGCUCACAAACCCCACAAGCAAGAAGUCAAUAUGAGAGAGGGUGAGAGGAUGCUGAAAUCGGCUCUAAGGUUUCCUUGGAAGCAAGUGUAGCCGAUUUCCAUAGCCUAGGGGUCUUAUUUAUACUGCUGGCUACUAGGGUUUCAGUCUAAACCCUAAUGGACAGCUUAGCCACCAAGCAGCCCAAGGAACCUUCUGGAAUAAGGCCUUGGACGAAAAUAUGAUGGAUCCCCAUCAUAAUUUCGUUCUCCCCUUAGUCCAUUAGGUUCUCCAGCCCAAAACUCAACUAUCAUGCAUUUGACAGUUUAUACCCCUUUAUUUAAUUAAUCUCUUUUAGUCACCAAAUUAAUUCCUAAUUAAUUUAUGGCCAAUACUAAUUAAAUAAAUAUGAUUUCUCCUUUAAUAUAUUAUUAUUAUAAUAUAUUAAUAUACCAUAAUAUUCUCUCUCUCUCUCUCUCUCUCUCUCUCUCCCUCUCUCCUUAAAUUACCUUGUGAAGUUGCUUUGGAGAAGGCAACCCAAAAGGACCAUGCACAACCGGGUCAAGUACAUACCAAAUAUAGUUACGGGCUUACACACUAAUCCAAAAGUCUCCCACUUGGAUAAGUCUAGUAACUAUAUCUCACAUAUGACUUUAGAAUCCGAUUAGCAAUCGUAGCUCUUAUACUUCGCUGUCAACUCUAAUCAACUUGUCCUUCAGGAUCAUAUAAUCGUUUGUUCUAUAUAUCAUGCUGACAAUGCUUAUUGUCCAACAUUUUUUCCUUGAUCUCUGAUUUGUUUGACAUAGAAUUUAGUUGAAAACAUCAACUUCAUUUUGACCGGGCCCGGCACAUAAGUCAAACCAAAUCAUCGAGUGGCUAAGAUAUCACUUUUAUUUUCAUAGAAUAAAAGGAACAGAUCAACUUCGACUCAUAUGCAUCUAUUAUUUACUAAUUGAAUUAUGUACAACAAUGUGUUUUAUAACAUCAAGUUACUGAUGCGUUUACACAUAAUCAAUGCAUAACCAACCAGCAAACAACAACCAUAUCUCUAAGUUUUAAGACUAUAUGAUAUUAUCGAUUUGUGAUCACUUAAGGUAUAACACCACAGAGUGAUACUAGCAAACACGGGUUUAUUCCAAUGCUCAAAUCAUAUUCAUAAGCACUCAUGAACUUUGCAGCAAACCUUUGCUAUGCCCAAAACCUUUUGGACAAUCUACAAACAAUUCAUGGCAGUCUUCAUUCAUAUUUACUUCCAAAAUAUUAACGACUGUGGACUGUUUGAAUAAUCCUAUCAUUCAGGAAGUCAAAACAUGCAAAAUUUGAAACAAUAGAUAAAUAACCAACACAAGAUAGUAGCUUUACUCAUAAAUAAGACAAUUUUAUUUAUUCAUCAAAUGUCAAGUACAAACUAUCUAUUACACGUUUCCUAUCUAAUCCAAACUUAUAUCAUCCUUCAGCCCAAUGCUCCUAGCAUGCUGCAAGUGUUUGACCCUACUCAGUCCCUUCGUAAGAGGAUCUGCUGGGUUUUCUUCUGAUGAUACCCUCUUCACCACGAGGAGUCCCUCUUCUACCUGAUGUCUGAUAAAAUGGUAUUUUCUGUCGAUAUGUCGAGAUCUACCAUGAUCUCUUGGUUCCUUGGUUAAGGAAACCGCUCCAUCAUUAUCACAGAAAAUUUCCAUCAGCUCCUUUAUGGAUGACAUAACUCCAAAGUCUCCAAUGAAGUUCUUCAACCAUAUAGCCUCCUUUGACGCUUCGCUCGCCGCAAUGUACUCUGAUUCGCACGUUGAAUCAACUACGGUCUCCUACUUGGAACUUUUCCAAGUCACUGCUCCACCAUUUAGGGUAAAGACCUAGCCCGACUACGAUCGGUAAUUAUCCCGAUCCUUCUAAAAACUAGCGUCACUGUACCCUCGUACCCUUAAGUCAUCACUCCCACCGAGGACAAGAAACCAUUCCUUGGUCCUUCAUAGGUACUUAAGAAUAUUCUUAACUAUAAUCCAAGGAGCUCUACCAGGGUUCCCUUGAUAUCUGCUGACCAUGCUCAAAGCGAAGGCCACAUCAGGGCGAGUACAAGUCAUAGUGUACAUGAUAGAGCCUACUGUGGAAGCGUAAGGUACUCGGCUAAUAUCAGCUAUCUCUGCCUUUGUACUCGGGCUCUGAGUCUUACUCAGCUUGGUAUUGCUUUCGAUUGGCAACUCCCCUUUCUUGGAAUUUUUCAUACUAAAAUGCUUUAGUACCUUAUCCAAGUAUGUAUCCUGACUGAGUCCUAUCAGUCUCUUUUCCCUGUUUCUUACUAUUCUUAUUCCCAGAAUAUAAGUAGCCUCUCCAAGGUCCUUCAUAGCAAAACACUUCCCAAGCCAGGACUUGACCUCCUGUAGGGUUGGGACAUCGUUUCCUAUGAGUAGUAUGUCAUCGACAUGCAAUACGAGGAAGCUCACUAUACUUCCACUAGCUUUGACAUAUACACAAGAUUCAUCUUCGCUUCGCAGAAAGCCAAACUCUUUAACUUUCUUGUCAAAACAAGGAUUCCAUCUGCGAGAUGCUUGUUUCAAUCCAUAAAUGGAUUUCUCAAGCUUGCAUACUCUAUUUGGAUGCUUCGCAUCGACAAAACCCUCUGGUUGAUUCAUGUAAAUAUCCUCAGCCAACUUUCCAUUAAGGAAAGCGGUUUUCACGUCCAUCUGCCAUAAUUCAUAAUCAUGAAACGUAGCUAUUGCAAGCAUUACCCUAAUAGACUUUAUCUUCGCAAUUGGUGAGAAGGUCUCAUCGUAGUCAACUCCGGGAUUUUAAUUAAAUCCCUUUGCAACCAAUCGUGCUUUAUAAGUAUGCCCUUUCCCAUCCAUGUCCGUCUUCUUCUUGAAGAUCCACUUGCACCCGACUGUCUUACGACCCGGUACAUGAUCAACCAAAUUCCAAACUUGGUUGUUGUACAUGGACUGAAUCUCGCUGUCCAUCGCCUCUUUCUAUUUCACAGACUCUGGGCCUGCCAUGGCCUCCUUGUAGCUGCUAGGUUCGUCCAAAUUUUUCUAGUGUACUAUCACUAAUAAAUGUAUCCCCUUUAGUAGUAAUAUGAAAUCCAUAUAACUAGGGUGGAACACUAGCCCUAGUGGAACGUCGAAGAGGUAAGGACUCGUCAACAGGUUCAACAGGAGUUUCCUCCUCAGGUUGAGUGCCAGUGUCAGAGGUUCCUUCAUCACCUAGAUCUUGAAUCUCUUCAAGUGCAAUUUGCCUCCCACUGUAUUCUUGGCUUAUCAAUUCCCUUUCUCGGAAAACUCCUCUUCUAGCAACGAAGACAACAUUGUCACUCGGUCUAUAGAAAAGAUAGCCAAAAGACUUCUGUGGAUAGCCGAUGAAAUAACACUUCUCACUACGAGGUUCGAGCUUGUCGUGAGUCUCUCGUCUUACGAAAGCCUUGCAACCCCAAACCUUAAUAUGUGCCAAUGAGGGAUCCUUCCCUGUCCAUAUCUCGUGAGGAGUCUUGGUAACCUUCUUGGUGGGAACUAAGUUAAGGAUGUGGGCGGCAGUCUCUAAGGCAUACCCCCAGAAAGCUAUCGGUAUCGAAGUCUGACUCAUCAUAGAACGAACCAUGUCCAACAAGGUAUUACGUCUCNNNNNNNNNNNNNNNNNNNNNNNNNNNNNNNNNNNNNNNNNNNNNNNNNNNNNNNNNNNNNNNNNNNNNNNNNNNNNNNNNNNNNNNNNNNNNNNNNNNNNNNNNNNNNNNNNNNNNNNNNNNNNNNNNNNNNNNNNNNNNNNNNNNNNNNNNNNNNNNNNNNGUCUGACCGAAGCAUCUUGAUUUUCCUGCCCAACUGAUUCUCCACUUCAUUCUUAAACUCUUUGAACUUUUCAAAGGUUUCCGACUUUUGCUUGAUUAAGUAGAUAUAUCCAUAUAUGCUAUAAUCAUCUGUAAAAGUCACGUAGAAGCGGCAAGCAUCCCUUGUGGUGGAUCUAAAGGGCCCACACACAUCGGUGUGUAUGAGAUCCAUUAGACCCCCACCUCUUUCACAAGUGCCAGUAAAGGGUGACUUGGUCAUCUUCCCAAGUAAACAAGAUUCACACGUGUCAUCGUCCCUAAGUUCGAAUGACUCCAACACUCCAUCAUUUUGGAGUUGGGCUAUGCGUUUCUUGUUGACAUGCCCAAGGUGACAAUGCCACAAGCAUGAUUUGUCUAGACUAGUAGAUGAAUCAAUAUUCAAAACAUUAUUUCCUAAAUUAUCAACAACCAUCACAGAUUCAUAAAUCCAAUUACAAGGUAAUGCAUUGAAGUAAAAGACACCAUUCAAAUAAACAUUAAUGGAACCAUUACUAUUAUCAAAAGAAUAUCUGAAACCUUUUCUAAACAACCCAUGAAUUGAAAUAAUGUUUCUUGCCAUAUCUCAAGAAUAACAGCAAUUGUUUAAAUCUAUCCCUAACCCAUUACUCAACACUAAAGAAUAAACACCGACUNUCUAGCCCUAACCCAUUACUCAACACCAAAGAAUAAACUCUGACUUUGGUCACAGGCGACGAUCUUCUGUUCCCCAUAAUCAACUUCAUCUUUCCAUGCUCCACUUCCCUACUUCUUCUUAGGCCCUACAAACCAGAAAAAAUGUGGAAACCACACCCUGUAUCAUGAACCAAUGAAGUAGCAAAUGAUGAGUUGUUAGAUUUAAUAAAAUACAUACCUGAAAAGUUUGGCUUUAUCUUCCCGUCCUUUAUGUGUUGCAGAUACUUGGCACAACUUCGUUUCUAGUGGCCCUUUUCGUGGCAAUAGAAGCACUCUGCUUCCUUGGGGACGGAGGAGGGUUUAGCAGGGCCUGCUUUGGUCCCACUAGAGGAUGAACCAUCACGGGACUUUCCCUUUUGGUGGCUCUUUGAAGGAGCCUUCCUAUUUGUCUUUGAGGUUGCUCUCAGCUGUCCUCAACAAUCCUUGGAUCUUGCUCAAGGAGACCUCUUCCUUAUUUAUGUGGUAGGUCAUUCUGAAUUGGUUGUAGCAGGAUGGCAAGGAGUGGAAGAUUAUGUUGAUAGCCAAAUCCUCAUCAAACUUAACAUUAAGUUUGAGAAGACAAUCAACAUACCUCUGUAUUUUAUGAAAAUGAGAGGUUAGGGAUUCUCCACUCCCCAUCUUAGCAGUGAUCAUGUUAGUAAUGAUCUCAUAGCGCUCUUACCUCGCACUCUAGUGAUACCUGUCCAGCAAAUCAUGAUGAAUUUCAUACGGAUACAUGUCCUCAUAGGACUUUUGGAGUUCGAGGUUCAUGGUGGCCAACAUGAUGCAGUGAACUUUCGUGGCAUCACGCUUGUGGGCCUCAAACGCGGCCAACUCUUCAGGAGUAGCAACAUAUGGGAUGAUCUUUUCAAGCUUUUCAUCGAGGACAUAUUCUUUGUCCUCGUAGUGUGUGAUCAUGCGAAUAUACCUCAUCCACUCGUUGAAGUUUGAACCAUCAAAUGUCACUUUCUGACACAGGUUCAUCAACGAGAAUGACCCAGAAGCGUUGUUGUUGUUGUUGUUUGCAGACAUCUGAAAAAGAAAGGAACAAAGUUUGAUUAGAAAUGAAUCCCUAAUUAAACACCCAAAUGAGAAAUUAGGGCUAGGAUCCAACAACAUUAUUUACAACUUAGAAAGGGAUGUCGUACUCUAAAAGUAAAUAAUUUGAAGGUAAGUGAAUGACGAUUCACUAAUUCUCACCAUGAAAAACUAAAAAGAGAUUUAGGUUUUAUAUGUAUUGAAAACUCCUAGAUCUUUGAGAUUCAUUACACUUUUUAAUGGUAUGUUUAAAUCUCGAUAUGCUCUUCAAAUUUGCGACUGGGAUACCGAGGAUCGCAAACAAGUUGUGAAUAACCAUGCGAAUCAACAUGGUGCACUCAAUGUCUCUAUCACCUAAUCAAUGUGUCGGUAAACCACAUACGCUCCAUUGAUCUAUGAAAAACAUCGAGUCACCCUUUGCAACCAAUGUCAUCCCCAAAUUGAUGUGCCGGUUAACCACAUGCGCUCUAUCAAUGUUUGAGAAGGGUACGAAGUGUAAUUCCAUGGGUUAGCAUCAUUUUCACAUUUUACCCUAAAGUAACUAAGAUUAGGAAUUUGUAAAACAUGUAANUAUAUAUUAAGCUUGUAAUAAUAUAUAAUAGUAUAGGGUUGAAUUUUAAACUAGUAAAAUUCUAAGGGUUUGAAAUUUAAAUUAUUCAAAAUUAAACUUUUAAUCACAACAUUCAAAUUUCAAAACUUGAGGGCAAGUUUUGAACUUUUCAAAACAAAAGAGAUCAAAUAACAAAUAAUUUAAAUAAAAACAAUUAAUUUUAUAAUUAUCUAUAUUUGACCAAAUCCAAUUUUAGUCAUAAGAUAAUUACCAAAUAAUUUUAAAUAAUCCAUAUUUAUCAUAUAAACAACCAAUAUUCAAAAGAUUUGAAAUUAUCGAUUGUUUUCGCAAGGAUAAUCAUUUAAUUAAGAUAAAAUUCGGAUUUUAACUUCAAAAAAUGAUUUAGGCAUCAAAUCCAAGACAAAACAUCAACUAAAUCUCGAAAUAUCCUCUGCCUGACGCACAAACUCGCCGAGUAGGGCCAACUCACCGAGUCCAGAUACUUACUCACCGAGUUGAGUCGGGCAGAAGCAAGAAAAACGAUUUUCAGAAAGAAAAUAGUUAAAGCAUCACAUACAAUUGAAACCAAUCAAGGCUCUGAUACCACUGAUGGGUUUUAUGCAUGAGAACAAGCCUAUGUGCUCAUACAAACCCUAAUGCUUGGAUCUAGGUUUCUCUAUUGUACAUGCUUUGAAUCCAUGACUUACAAACCUAGAUCUAUCAUAUAUAAUUUGAAAUUAUCAUUAAGAAAACGGAUCUAAGUGUUGUAGCUCUUUCAAGUAGCUUGAAUCCUUGUAAUCUUCUUGAUCUUGAGCUUAGAGUCACAAUUGUAACUCCUCUAAUGGUUCACAAACCCCACAAGCAAGAAGGCAAUAUGAGAGAGGGUGAGAGGAUGCUGAAAUCGGCUCUACGAUUUCCUUGGAAGCAAGUGUAGCUGAUUUCCAUAGCCUAGGGGUCUUAUUUAUACUGUUGGCUGCUAGGGUUUCAGAGUAAACCCUAAUGGAUAGCUUAAUCACCAAGCAACCCAUAGAACCUUCUAGAUUAGGGCUUUUGGACGAAAAUAUGAUGGAUCCCCAUCAUAAUUUCGUUCUCCCCUUCGUCCACUAGGUUCUCCAGCCCAAAACUCAACUAUCAUGCAUUUGACAGCUUAUACCCCUUUAUUUAAUUAAUCUCUUUUAGUCACCAAAUUAAUUCCUAAUUAAUUUAUGACGAAUACUAAUUAAAUAAAUAUGAUUUCUCCUUUAAUAUAUUAUUCUUAUAAUAUAUUAAUAAACCAUAAUAUUCUCUCUCUCUCUCUCUCUCUCUCUAUAUNNNNNNNNNNNNNNNNNNNNNNNNNNNNNNNNNNNNNNNNNNNNNNNNNNNNNNNNNNNNNNNNNNNNNNNNNUAUAUAUAUAUAUAUAUAUCCUUAAAUUACCUUGUCAAGUUGCUUUAGAGAAGGCAACCCAAAAGGACCAUGCACAACCGGGUCUAGUACAUACCAAAUAUAGUUACAGACUUAGACACUAAUCCGACAGGUGGCUGUUGUUAUAAGAAAACUCAGCCAAUGGCAGAUACGUGUCCCAACUUCCUCCGAAGUCCAACACACAUGCCCUAAGCAUGUCCUCGAGCGUCUGAAUCGUCCACUCACUCUGACCGUCCGUCUGUGGGUGGUAUGCGGUAUUGAAAUGCAGCCUCGUACCCAACUCCUCAUGGAAUUUCUUCCAGAACCUGCAAGUGAAACGUACAUCUCGAUCCGACAUGAUCGAGAUCGGUACUCCAUGCCGCGAUACCACCUCUCUCACAUACAACUCUACCAGCCUCUCAGCAGAAGAGCUCUCACUGAUAGUAAGAAAAUGAGUGCUUUUCGUCAGCCGGUCAACGAUCACCCAAAUUGAAUCGACACCCCUCGCAGUCCUCGGAAAUUUGGUGAUAAAAUCCAUGGAAAUCUGUUCCCACUUCCACUGCAGAAUCUCAAGUGGCUGAAACUUGUCAUGCGGCCGUUGGUGCUCGGCCUUAACCCUGCGACAGGUCAAGCACCUCUCCACAAACCACGCAACAUCCCUCUUCAUACAGGGCCACCAAUAGUCUCUCUUCAGGUCCAAAUACAUCUUAGUGGCCCCGGGAUGGAUCGAAAAUCUUGAUUUGUACGCCUCCUCCAUCAAAAUGGUACGUCCCCACCCUCAAAUGGCACCCAAAUCUGACCUUGAAGGGUCAUAAGCCCUAGGCUAUUGGCAAUGAACUCAAAUACCUACCCGAUCACUCGUUUUCACUUGCGAUUCUCUGGUCUCAUGGCCUCUACCUGGGCCUCCCGAAUGGUUUCCAACACCGGAGUCAUCACCGUUAACCUCAUACAAACAUCUCGUAUUGGGGCACUCUCCUCCCUACGACUCAAGGCAUCGACUACAACGUUAGCCUUGCCCGGUUGGUAUAGGAUCUCGCACUCAAAAUCCUUCACUACAUCCAACCAUCUCCUCUGGCGCAUAUUCAGGUUGGGCUGAUCCAUCAGAUACUUCAAGCUCUUAUGGUCCGUGUAGAUGGUACACCGAACCCCAUAGAAAUAGUGACGCCAGAUCUUGAGGGCGAACACUAUAGCCCCCCAACUCUAGAUCGUGAGUAGGAUACCUUGUCUCAUGAGGCUUCAACUGCCUUGAUGCAUAUGCUAUCAUGUGCCAUCUCUGCAUCAGCACCGCACCCAAUCCCGAUAUCGACGCGUCACAAUACACCACAAAAUCCUCCAUUCCCUCCGAAAGGACUAACACUGGGGCUUCGUGUAAUCUCUGGUGAAGUUUCUCGAAUGAGGUCUGCUGCUCUGGGCCCCAACUGAAAGCCACGCCCUUCCGGGUCAACCUGGUGAGAGGAACAACAAUCCUGGAGAAAUCAUUGAUAAAGCUCCGAUAAUAGCCAGCCAACCCUAGAAAAAUCUUGAUCUCUGAAGGGGAUCUCGACACCUCCCAACUCAUCACAACCUCAAUCUUGGCCGGAUUGACCAAUAUCCCAUUCUGGUUGACGAGGUGUCCUAGGAAUUGGACCUCUUGUUACCAAAAAUCGCACUUGGAGAAUUUGGCGUAAAGCCUCUCCGAUCUUAGAACUCCGAGGAUCUCCCUCAAAUGCUCCUCAUGCUACUCUCUGGAUCUCGAAUACACCAAUAUAUCAACAAUGAACACUAUCACCGAAUGAUCCAACAUCGGCCUGCACACCUUAUUCAUGAGAUCCAUGAACGCCGCCGGUGCAUUGGUGAGCCCGAAAGGCAUCACCACGAACUUGUAAUGCCCAUUACGAGUCUUGAACGUCGUCUUCUGGAUAUCCUCAUCACGCACUCUCAUAUGAUGAUAUCCAGACCUCAGAUCAAUCUUGGAGAACCAAGAUGCUCCCUGCAACUGAUCGAACAAAUCAUCGAUCCUCGAUAAGGGGUAACGUGUAAAGCCCGUAGAUCCAGGCUAGUCAAUUUAGAGAUAAUAGGGGUCGAAAACGACUUUUCGGCAAAAGAUUUUUUAGAAUAAAUAAUCUUAACCAAGUUGUAGAAUAUUUCUCAAGGGUUCCAUACAUAUAAAGAACGCCGAAAUCCGAGUUAUAACGAAGAAGUUAUGGCCCAUCGAAGUUUUUUGGCAAAACCGGCACGGCACCAGGAGACGUAAGAAGUGAAUUUAUGAUAGAAUACUUUUAAGCCUUAGUGAUCUAAACCAAAGUUUUAGAGUAUGUCAAACCAAGAAAAUCCAUAAAAAGAACGCCCAAAUCUGACUUCGUAUGAGGAAGUUAUGAUUUUUCUAAGAUUCGGCUUAGCAGUGCACGACCCGAAACUCGAAUUUUAGUUCGAGCGGUUUUUGGCUUACGCGACCUAAAUGAGAGUUGAAGAUCUCAUUAAUAGGAACUCAACGGUAAAAAUAAAGACGAAAACGGAGUCCGUAUGAAGGAGUUACAAAUUCUUCGCGGUCAUUUAGCAGUCUAAUCUCCUCCUACUGUUAAAUUUAAGAUCGGUCGAGAAUUAGCCGAUGAAGUCUAAAUGAAAGUUGUAGAUCUUGUUUUUACCUAUGCGUGGGACAAAAGAACAUAAAAAAUGGAGCUCGUAUGCGAGAGUUAUGAUUUUUCUAAGUCGGGAGGCUGCUGUGCGAAAUCGGUGACGUGGCGCAAUCUUGGCCAUUGCUUCCUCCCCAAGGCUAGCCACCAGAUGGUGACACCUGGCCUGGAACUCGACGAUUUUGAGGCCAACUAGACAAGUUUUUGGCUUUUCCAGCCUAUAAAAAGGGAGUUGGGGCACCCUCAUUUCUCACACCUUUCCCCACUUCUUUCUCUCUCUAAACUCUCUCUCUAACCCCCCAACCCCCCUAAAAGCCUAGGUAAACCCUCUAGCACCCGAAGAAGCCCCGAGGCUCCUGGAGUCCCGAGAAAAAGGGUCUUUCGGUUCGGAAACGCUGCUCCGUGUAAAGCCCGAUUUUCUUUAAAAUCCGCUGUAAGUGAGCUACGCUUACACAAUUUUUAAUAUAACUUUCAAAUAAUUAUAGGAAUGUUAUUAGGUCCUUAAAAUAAUUAUUUGGGCUAUUAUUAUGAGUUAUAUUGAGUGUUAUUUAACUCUUAUAUAAUAAUAAUAAUAAUUUUCAGACUAUUAAUUUGUCGCGGUUAUCGUUAAACUAAACCCUAGUGGUAUCGGUACUAGGUUUUAUUGAAGGAAAAUUGUUUUGAGAGUAUCGAAGCGCUGUCCGAGUGCUGAGUCACCACCUUUCAGGUGAGUGCAUAGUCUCUUUCAUCUUACACAUAGAUAUGAAGUAUUUUAAUAUAAAUUACGUGCUAUGUAUGCNGUGUGCAUAUUAUCUGAAUACUUGCUAUCUAUGCUGGAUGAACGUUUUAUACAUGUUUUCAAUGAUUUAAACUGUAUAUGUAUUUUAUAUCUACAAAAUGUGUUGGGUAAAACAUGGGUAGGUGAAAUAGUGGUUGUGUGACAACACGAUGAAAGACAUCAAUUUUGACAGUGAUCCAGUCAUCUAGUGGAGUAUAGAUGACGACCAUGGACGAUACUAGACAAUCUAGUGGAACGCUAGCAGGCUCGUAACUAGUAGGUGUUUUUGAACUAGGUGCUCAUUAGAUAUUUUUGAACUGAGUGUGUUCAAUAGGCAUUUUGAACUAAGUGUGUUCACUAGCUACUUUUGAACUAAGUGUUUACCAGAUGUUUUGGACUACGUGUUCCACCACUUAUAAUCUAUAAGCCUUGGUAACGAUGGACUUCGUGCCGAUUCCUUAGGAUGAUCCUUAGGAAUAAAUAAACGAGGAAUAACUGAUUCUUAGGGUAGAUCCUUAAGACUAAAGAAGAUAAUGGGGAUGGGUAAUUGGGUCGAUUGUUUGAUUAAUUAAACAUAAUAAUUAUUUUUGCGGGUUGAAAACCCUAUGUACUCACCAGGUUUCCCAACCUGACCCACUCAGUUUAUUUAUAUCACAGGUGUUGAUAUGAAGUGACAUUACACUGAGAGAUUAAAGAGAUGUAGAUCACUAGUGUAAAUAAAUGUAAGUUCUGUUUAUGCUUAUGUUUAUGUAUUGACAAUGACAUCCUAAAUGUUUUAAAACGAAUUAAAAAUACUUUUCUUCGGAAAUGCUUUAAUAACGUAUUUAUCAUGCUUUACUGGGAACAAAUUCCGUAACAUUUUUAUUAAAAGAAGUACUCUGAUUUUUAUAAAGCAUAAACAAAAUCGGUCUUUUUUGGCCGUGAAAAAUGGGGAUGUCACAUAACGGUUCUUGACUGUUAGAUUGUUCAACUCCCGGUAAUCAAUGCACAUCUGGUGUGAACCAUCAUUUUUCUUGACAAAAAGGAUCGGCGCUUCCCACAGCGAGCUACUCGGCCGAAUAAACCCCUUCCCCAGCAGCUCAUGCAGUUGUGUGGAUAACUCUUGCAUCUCUGGUGGCGCAAGGCGAUAGGGCGCCUUGGCGAUAGGCGCUGCCCCCGGAACUAAAUCGAUACGGAACUCUACCUGCCUCACGGGAGGCACUCCCGGAAACUCCUUGGGGAAAACGUUUGGGAACUCACGCACUAUCGGAACCUCAUCGACCGAUCUCAGCCUCUCUGCAUCUACCCUUGUAUUCACCACAUAAGCCACAAACCCUCUACAACCCUGCUAUAGGCUUUGCCUUGCUCUAGCGGCCGAACAAAAUGUCGACCCAGAAUGGGUACCCUCACCAUAAACCGUAAGAACUCCCCCACUAGGGUCUCAUAUGGUCACCAGCUGCCGCUCGCAGUCGAUAACCGCUCCAAACCUGCUCAACUAGUCCAUGCCCACGAUGACACAGACAUCUCCCAUAGCAAUAGGGAACAAAUCAAUCGGAAACUCAAUGCCGAAGAUCUCGAGUGCACAUCCUCGAAUCACAUUAGUGGCAUACACCGCUCUCUCUUCAGCUAUGGAAACUUGCAGAGGUCGACUCAACGCCUCCCGACUAAUACUGAUGUGCUGACUGAAGGCUAAUGAUACAAAAGAUCGACUUGCACUUGAGUUAAAUAACACCAAGGCAGAUACAUAAUUCACAAGAAAAGUAACUACACAUAUCAUAAUAUAAGCACAAUAUCUCAAACAUCAAAGAAAUACAUGAAACAAUACAUACCAGCCACGACAUCGAGCGCUGCGUGGACCUCCACCGCUGUCAACUGGAAGGUUGUCCCUUGUGCCUUCGAUGCCUCGGCCUUCACCGGCCGACUCUCUGUAGCUCGCACAACAGCAUGGGCAGAUCCUUGCGAUGCUCCCUGUACUAACCCUCGCAGCUGUGGACACUCGACCUUCCGGUGUAUGGUCUGGUUGCAGUGGAAACAGACUGCAAAUCCCUUGGGGCAAUCCUUGGCCUUGUGCCCCUCCUUGACACACUUGUAGCAAGACCCUACUCUACAAAUCCCCUCAUGACCCUUUCCGCACUUGCCACAAGUGCGGCCCUUUUGGUUCCUUGAUCUAUAAUCGGCGGGCUUGGCCCGCUUGGCAGCCAGAUGGGUCAGAGCCGGUCGCCUAUCCCUCGCCUAAGAUUCCGUCUCCUCCUUAGCCUGAGUCUCAAGCUCUAUGUCCCUCUUCCAAGCAUUUUCCUGAAGCUCGGAAAAUGUCCGGUACGACGAGUUCGCCACGAACUCGCAGAUGUCUCUCCUCAAAAUGCUUAAAUACUGACUCAUUCGUGCCUGCUUGGAAGACACGUGCUCAGGGAAGAACAUUGCCCUCUCAUGGAACAUCCUGGUUGAGGGUCAAGAAAACCUGGACCAAACUUUCCCUUUCCACCAGGGGAACGUACUCAUCACGAAACAUAGCGGUGAACCUCACCCAAGUCACCGCGGAAAGCUCUGCAGAAGAAUAGUGUGCUGUCACAAACUUCCACCAGUCCCUCAAUGUCAGAAACCCAUCUCAUCACCGCAAUUGGAUCCUACGUCCCAUCAAACUCUGGUGGCUUCGUGUUGCUGAACUCCCAGAACAACAACGAAUCACCACCCUGAGGCCUAGCAGCAGCAACAACUGCAGUAGCUGUAGCGGCUGCAACCUCAUUAACUACUGCGUAUCUCUCAUCAAAGGUCUCAAUCAACGUGGUCUUAAUAGACCCAAACAUCUCCGAAAUCUCUGCGCGGAUAGCCGCAACCACCUCCUCGUGGAUCAUCUGACGAAGCUCCUCGUCACUCACACCGCUGGUCUCUGGUUUGUGGCGUGUCCCCACCAUGAUAUCUUUGAAAAUAAACAUCAUAAAUAUCAGAGACUCACUCGAGCAUACUCGGACUCGAUAACUCAACCCUACUUGCUCCUUAGUACCUAAGGAUUCUUACUUGGACUGUGCACUAAUCUAACGUCUUCAGUUGUACGUGCCCUAUACUACCGUCCAUGGCACAUCAGUAUUCAUCCCGAGUCCUCCUCCUAGGUUCCCAGAUCGCACGUACUCUAAUCUCACUAUGCAUACGCUACUCUCUAGCAGACCUCUCAUAAGUUCCUCGCCGCUACCUACUCACUCUUAAGCGUCUCCUAGCAGCAAAACCCCUAGGCUAAGGCAUCACAAAUCAGGCCACUCUAGUCCUAAUAAGAAUAACUAGCCUACUCUAGCAUGCAUAGCAUAUCAUAUCAUAUCUCAUAACACAUAAUAUAAGGGUAUUUUGGGAAAUCACUGUUCGAACGGUGGCUGAUCAUACACACUGCUCUGCUCUGCUCUUUCCAAAACCUUUUUAUUCUUUUAGAAAAAAAUUUGGUUUUAUUUCGAAAAAUUUCUCAAAUCCUCAGUUUGAGUUCAAAUGCGUCCGAAGGUGCAUCCGAAUCCGUUAAACCAAGGCUCUAAAACCAACUUGUAACAACGUAAAUUUCAAAACAAUUUUUCACUUUUAAAAAUGUAAUUUCAUUCAUACAUAAUGUCAAAUCUCAAUGCAUCACAUGUCAACACCAUAAAAACACAUCCCAAGAUCAAAACGUAUAAAAACUCCAAUAGUGUGUGCUGAUCAUGCCAGUGCCUUCCCGCGAUCCUCACUGGUACCUGAAACACAUAACACAAAACACUGUAAGCAUAAAUGCUUAGUGAGUUCCCCAAAUCACAUAUAACACAUAUUAGCCACUCGAGGCUAUAAUUAUGUGACCCUCUGGCCCUAACUCUGUGGAACCUCUGGUCCUAACUCUGUGGACCUUCCGGCCCUAACUCUGUAAACUCUAGAGUACACACAACAUAAAUCAAGUAGAAACAAUGCAGUGCAACACAUCACAUACAUAUCACAUAAUAUACUCUGUGACAUAACUCUAAUUACCACUCAAGGUAAAGUAUAGUGAGAAGACUCACCUCGGAUAACUCGGUAACCCUCGAACUUGGAAAUACUGAUCUAGCCUCCGCCUAAUCACAUAAAAUAAUUACGCUAAUCAAUACGACUUUCAAAGACUAGGCCAAUCCCUCUCUAAGCUCUCUAUGGAGGGUAAAAGACCAUUCUAUCCCUCCAAUGGCUCAAAAGUCCAAACAUUGACUAAACCCCAAUAGUCAACAAAGUCAACUCUAGUCAACGGUCAACUUUGACCAGACUCGUCGAGUGCACUCGGGCGACUCGACGAGUCCACGCGGGUCCUCUAAAUCCUUCUAAACCUCACUUGGCACGUCGAGUGCCUCCUCCACUCGCCGAGUUACUCUACAACGAAUCGCGGGGCAACCUUGACUCGACUCGUCGAGCCCACUUAUGAACUCAACGAGUUGCUCCCAUAACAACUAUCAAAUGACCUUCUGAGGUCAGAUCUGCUUCUCUAAAUUGUAGAUCUGACCUCCCCAUGACCAAUAACCACAUAAAGGUCAAAACUUGACCCACAUGCAAAGCACCCAAGGCUUCUUUUGAUGAAAUCAAUUCUGAAAUGGCAACCCAAGUUCAUUUCCUUCAUGGAACCACAUAAAGCAGUUUGGCUAAGGCUCUCUGGACCUCAAAAGGUCCGGAUCCAGAGUCUAACACUCAAUGAGACACUAUACUCGCCCAAAAAAGCCAAUAAAAAGGUAUAGAAAACCCUAGAUUCAAGGUUCUUAUGCAAAAUAGAAGAAUAGAUUGAAUUGCUACCUCAAAAGUGAAGAUCCUAGCUGAAAAUCCAUGGAAAUAGCAACCCUCUUGACCUCCUCUUGCUGGAAACACUUUCUCCUUUGCUAAACCACACCAAA